rnacentral:ncRNA from 1 species
CAGAGUAAAAGAAUACGCGUUAUACCGAAUGAGUUUGGAGUGCCCGACGGACGGGGAGUUGCCGGCGGGACGAAAGGGCGGUCGCCCUGCGGUGUAUUCUUUGCAUCCCGCUGU